CUCUGAAGAAGCUUAUAUUAGCGCUAGCCUUUUAAGUUAGAGAAGGGACCACCCCCUCCCCUCAGAGA
rnacentral:tRNA from 1 species